ensembl:lncRNA
CUAAACUAAAAAUAGGAUAGUUUUAACAUGAAUAUUUUAUUUUCUUAUAUGCCAGAAUACUGGAGUGGGUAGCCUUUCCCUUCUCCAGGGGAUCUUCCCAUCCCAGGGAUGGAAUCCAGGUCUCCCACAUUGCAGGCAGAUUCUUUACCACCUGAGCCACCAGAGAAGACAUUGAUUACCGGCAGAUAGAUCAUCCCUGACAUACCAGCCAGAGUAGCUCACUGUCUCAUUGGAGAGGCAGCCAUGUAUACAUCUGGCUAAAAUAAUUCCUGAAGACAAUGACACGGGCUGAGAAGAGGAAACAGCACAGUGCUAUGGAAACACAAGAGUGAGGUCUCUAUUGAAAAGACCCUGAUGCUGCGAAAGAUUGAAGGCAGGAGGAGAAGGGGACGACAGAGGAUGAGAUGGUUGGAUGGCAUCACUGACUCAAUGGAUAUGAGUUUGAGUAAGUGCCGGGAGUUGGUGAUGGACAGGGAGGCCUGGCGUGCUGCAGUCCAUGGGGUCGCAAAGAGUCAGACAUGACUGAGCAACUGAACUGAACUGAUUGAGGUCUGGAAGAUCCCCUGGAAGAGGGCAUGGCAACCGACUCCAGUAUUCUUGCUUGGUGAAUCCCAUGGACAGAAGAACCUGCAGGCUAUAGUCCAUGGGGUCACAAAGAGUUAGACACGACUGAAGUGAUUUAGCACACAUGCACACAUGCUUUGAGGUAUAAUUGACAAGUAAAAUUGUAAGAUAUUUUUAAAAAGACCAAGAUUUAGAGAAUAGUUGGCUGAGAACUUAAACCUUGAACCCUUCAUCCAUAUUGAGGAUGUAAAAGGGACGAGGAGAGGAGUAUGUUUGAAAAUGUGUAGGGAGCAUUUUUGGGGAGAAUGGGUUCAACCCAAGGGAAUCCCCCAAAGGCGUUGCUCCCCAUCUUCGUCAAACAAAGAGCAAGAGGAUUUUAGAGCACCCACUGGAGUUGCAUGUCCCUUUAGGCUGUUCUUGUGUCUGACAUCGUCUGAAAGGACCAGACUGGCUAGUUGCUCUGACUUAAGGAGUGAAGGAGAGAUUGCUGUGCCAUGGGGUUGGUUAGCACUUUCUGAGUUGUCAGGACAGAUAAAGGGGGUAGCAGCAAGAGGUAACUGGUGUGGGGUCUCCUAACGUCCUGAGAGGAGAGGCACCCAGACCACAGCAGAGGGAAGCUAGAG